AGGUUUGCCACCUUCCGGACC
rnacentral:miRNA from 15 species